UUUCUUCAACAAAAAAAAAGUUUAUAAACAAUUGUGUCCCAUGACAUCUCACGUAAAAUAUUUGUAAUACAUCGUUAGCAUGGAGAGAUUUGAUAAUAUUUUACCAAAUAUUUGAUUGAACUUUCAAAUUGUUUGUGGAGAUUCAGCAUAUGUUCAAGAGCAGUUGAGUGCAUUCAAGCGAGAAUAUUUAAAAGUAAAUUUUGCCGGGGCUGAAUUAUUCAGGCAUAUGGAGAAAUGAACACUAGCUUUCCAUCAACUGCAGUGGAUACCAUGUGUAAAUUAGCAAGGAUUUAUUACUAGUGCAGUGUCUUAUUUAAUAACAUUGUAUUUAUAAUAAAAUUUUAAGAUGCCUAUUUGAAUAAAAAUGUUUAUCAAAAUA